rnacentral:rRNA from 1 species
UACAGAGGUGGCAAGCGUUGUUCGGAAUUACUGGGCGUAAAGGGCGCGUAGGCGGCCAUCUAAGUCAGACGUGAAAUCCCCCGGCUUAACCUGGGAACUGCGUCUGAUACUGGACGGCUUGAGUAUGGGAGAGGGAUGUAGAAUUCCAGGUGUAGCGGUGAAAUGCGUAGAUAUCUGGAGGAAUACCGGUGGCGAAGGCGGCAUCCUGGACCCAUUACUGACGCUGAGGCGCGGAAAGCUAGGGGAG